UUGAGAUUUCGAGAAGCAUCUGGGUUACCUGGAGGAAACUAUAUAAGCCACGACGAGAACCACAGGGAGUCAGUAUUACAUCAUUAGAUUAGCAUUGACUUAACGCAUCAGCUCGCGUGAUUUCGUGCUCGUGCUCAAAGUGAAUCAUCAGCACCCAAAACAACAGCAGCAACAAUUACAGUGACUUCGUGCCAGUGCGUAAAGUUAUUCACCAAUAGCAAAAAUUAUUAGUUCCACCAAAGAGCGUGCGCGCAACUCCUCAAGUGUUUCGCAAAAGCCCUCAGCAGACCGCGUGUGUUCUCACACGCGGAAAAAUGUCGUAUUCUAGCGACAGCGAUCAAAGUGCGGUCAUGAGCAGUGACAACGAUUCAUUUUGAAGCAGCAAUGUGGGAAAAAACUAGAGUUGAUGGGACCAGAAAGUUAAAAAGAAAUGCCGUACCUACACUUUUUUCUUUCACAAACCCGAAGAAAAUCAGAAAAGAUCCUACUCAAAGAACUAUACCGACCCGAGAGGCACAUACAACCCUUCCUACUUGCUGUAGUACAAACACCCAAGAACUAAAUGUAAGCUCCCUCGAACAGCCUUCCCCUUGCUUCUCUGUUAAUUGUGAUCCUGAAAUGAAUAGUGCAAACUCGAGCCCUCAAAAAUCAAAUAAUUUAAGUAACAAAGAAAAAGUAUAUAUGUAUCAAAAAUUAUUAAAGAAAAAAUAAUUUUUGCUAAAACACCACACGUGUAAAUUGCGAAAUAAUACUUACAAAUUGAAAAUGUUAGAAAAAAACCAAACUUCAGGCAACUCUCAUGUACUACAUGCUGAAUUUAAUGACGACCAAAUUAUAGCAUUAAAGAAGAAACAAUCGUUGAAAAGUACAAAAUUGAUUAAAUGGAGUGAUAAUACUAUAAUUAAAGCAAUGAAAUUGAAAUUCAGUUAUGGUAACUCAGGUUACGAGAAAUUAUUAAAACAAAAUUUACUCUCUCCUUCCAUAAGUUAUGUCAGGCCUAAAGAUCCGCAUUUGACUUGUCUAUGGCGUAAAAUUUGCGACACCCUUAACGUGAAGUGCCGUCCCUUGGUUCCCAGGAACUGAACACUUACUUGUUGAAGUGUGUGAACCAUACAUUGGUAGAUUAGAUAUAAACCAGAUGCAUUUUUUGUCAGUAGGUUAAGCUAGGAUUUCGUUUACAUUUUUAAGUGUAGCUUUUAUGUCAGGCAGUCAGCUGAAAACCGCCAAAGAGUUUGGUACAUACAAUUGUUAACAAUCAACUUUUUUAAUUUUAAAUAAAUAUUUUAAAAAACAAAGUCUCGGCCAUUGAUCGUUAACUCAUACGAACUUUACAACGUAGAUUACAAUAUAAUAUAAAUAUAAGUAUAGUAUAGUAUAGUAAUUAACAGUUUAGUUUAGAAGGCGUUAGAAAAUAUGAAAUAGAAAAUAAUUAUAUGUAAGUUUUUAUUGCGUAAAGCCAACUAAUGUCUUAUAAUGUUUGUCGUGUGUGUUUUAAUACCUGGGACCUAGACAAUAAACAUUACUCAGUAAUGGUUA